GGGGGCGUACUGGUUUCGACGUGUAGCGUCGUCUGUUGAGAGCAUGCCGAGCUUUGGUUAUGUGCUCGUUAAAGAAGAACCAAAACAAUACGUGCAGAGUCUCAAAACUCUGUCGGCAGUUUGCUUGCCUUGCUUUUUGCAGGUGUUUCAGCUCUUUUUGCAGCUGUUCCGCUUCGCAGAAAGCAGUUUGCUGCAGCGUAACUGCGACCUUGUAGAAAAAACGUGUCUAUCAGUUUGAUCUACUCGUAUUAACCAAGAUAGGACUGACAAGCAAGAUUACUCUGUUGUGGUAGCUUGUUUAGUAAUACAAUAACAGACCAUAUCAAAAACUCUGGUCACUGCGGGUUUGAUGUGGUAGUUGCAGGGACUGAGCAUGGAGCGCUUAACACGCGGUGAAAUACGGACAUGGGUUCAAUUCCCAUCGCCUCCACCA
rnacentral:tmRNA from 2 species